GUUGUUCUCGUCUCGCCUAGCGUCGCCCCGGCGGUCCUGCCGUGAAACCUCCCCCCCCCGCGGGGGAUUUCUCUUAGAAGGUGACCUCGGAUCACGUCAGGAACCCNCUGACUAA
rnacentral:rRNA from 1 species